UGAAUGCUCUUCUUGGGACAUUUGG
rnacentral:piRNA from 1 species